AACUCAAAGGAAUUGACGGGGGCCCGCACAAGCGGUGGAGCAUGUGGUUUAAUUCGAUGAUACGCGAGGAACCUUACCAGGGCUUAAAUGUACGUUGCAUGAUUUAGAGAUAGAUCUUUCUUCGGACUACGUACAAGGUGCUGCAUGGUUGUCGUCAGCUCGUGCCGUGAGGUGUCAGGUUAAGUCCUAUAACGAGCGCAACCCCUAUCGUUAGUUGCCAACAGGUUAAGCUGGGAACUCUAACGAGACUGCCGGUGCAAACCGCGAGGAAGGUGGGGAUGACGUCAAAUCAUCACGGCCCUUACGUCCUGGGCCACACACGUGCUACAAUGGCCGGUACAGAGAGCAGCCACUCCGCGAGGAGGAGCGAAUCUAUAAAACCGGUCUCAGUUCGGAUCGCAGUCUGCAACUCGACUGCGUGAAGCUGGAAUCGCUAGUAAUCGGAUAUCAGCCAUGAUCCGGUGAAUACGUUCCCGGGCCUUGUACACACCGCCCGUCAAACCAUGGAAGCUGGGGGUGCCUGAAGUCUGUGACCGCAAGGAGCAGCCUAGGGUAAAACUGGUAACUGGGGUUAAGUCGUAACAAGGUAACC
rnacentral:rRNA from 1 species